rnacentral:rRNA from 1 species
UACGUAGGGUGCAAGCGUUGUCCGGAAUUAUUGGGCGUAAAGAGCUCGUAGGCGGUCAGUCGCGUCUGCUGUGAAAACUCGGGGCUUAACUCCGGGCCUGCAGUGGGUACGGGCUGACUAGAGUGCGGUAGGGGAGACUGGAAUUCCUGGUGUAGCGGUGAAAUGCGCAGAUGUCAGGAGGAACACCGGUGGCGAAGGCGGGUCUCUGGGCCGUAACUGACGCUGAGGAGCGAAAGCGUGGGGAGCGAACAGG